rnacentral:rRNA from 1 species
UACGAAGGGGGCUAGCGUUGCUCGGAAUCACUGGGCGUAAAGGGGUGCGUAGGCGGGGUCUUUAAGUCAGGGGGUGAAAUCCUGGAGCUCAACUCCCAGAACUGCCUUUGAUACUGAAGAUCUUGAGUUCGGGGAGAGGUGAGUGGAACUGCGAGUGUAGAGGUGAAAAUUCGUAGAUAUUCGCAAGAACACCCAGUGGCGA